rnacentral:rRNA from 1 species
AGAGCGAACGCUGGCGGCAGGCUUAACACAUGCAAGUCGAGCGGGCGUAGCAAUACGUCAGCGGCAGACGGGUGAGUAACGCGUGGGAACAUACCUUUUGGUUCGGAACAACACAGGGAAACUUGUGCUAAUACCGAAUAAGCCCUUACGGGGAAAGAUUUAUCGCCGAAAGAUUGGCCCGCGUCUGAUUAGCUAGUUGGUAGGGUAAUGGCCUACCAAGGCGACGAUCAGUAGCUGGUCUGAGAGGAUGAUCAGCCACAUUGGGACUGAGACACGGCCCAAACUCCUACGGGAGGCAGCAGUGGGAAUAUUGGACAAUGGGGGCAACCCUGAUCCAGCCAUGCCGCGUGAGUGAUGAAGGCCCUAGGGUUGUAAAGCUCUUUUGUGCGGGAAGAUAAUGACGGUACCGCAAGAAUAAGCCCCGGCUAACUUCGUGCCAGCAGCCGC